UGGUGGCUUUGGCGGGGAUGUCACACCCGUUCCCAUCUCGAACACGGCCGUUAAGCUCCCCAGUGGCGAUGAUACUACGCUCAAGAGCGUGGGAAAGUAGCGCGCUGCCA
rnacentral:rRNA from 1 species